AGAAAAUCAAAGAAAGGAGAAAAUGAAGAAGAGAAAAAGAAAAAGAAAGAAGGUCUUCCUCCAAAUAUUGAUCGAAUUCGAACACAUGUGACUUGUGAAAUUGAUCGACCUGUUCAUACUUCUUCUUAUUCUUCUUC
rnacentral:ribozyme from 13 species